UCUGUGUUUUCAUGGUAACACGUUUGUCAUGUGCCAAUCAUAGCGGAGCAUAGAGUUAAGUUUCACUUUCGUUUUCUUCUGCUGAAGAGUGAGACGUCCGGUUCAUGUCUCUCCCGUUCGCUCACCCCUUUUCCUGUUUAUCCUCACCUGUGAUGCUGUGCGUGGAUGAAUACAAGACCACAGCGAAAUAAACCACCUGUCACUUGGAA